UACGGAGGGUGCAAGCGUUAUCCGGAUUCACUGGGUUUAAAGGGUGCGUAGGUGGGUUGGUAAGUCAGUGGUGAAAUCUCCGGGCUUAACUCGGAAACUGCCGUUGAUACUAUCAAUCUUGAAUGUUGUGGAGGUAAGCGGAAUAUGUCAUGUAGCGGUGAAAUGCUUAGAUAUGACAUAGAACACCGAUAGCGAAGGCAGCUUGCUACACAAUAAUUGACACUGAGGCACGA
rnacentral:rRNA from 1 species